CCUACGGGGGGCAGCAGUGGGGAAUAUUGGACAAUGGGGGGAACCCUGAUCCAGCCAUGCCGCGUGUGUGAAGAAGGCCCUCGGGUUGUAAAGCACUUUCAGUGAGGAAGAACGCCUGGUGGUUAAUACCCAUCAGGAAAGACAUCACUCACAGAAGAAGCACCGGCUAACUCCGUGCCAGCAGCCGCGGUAAUACGGAGGGUGCGAGCGUUAAUCGGAAUUACUGGGCGUAAAGCGCGCGUAGGUGGCUUGAUAAGCCGGUUGUGAAAGCCCCGGGCUCAACCUGGGAACGGCAUCCGGAACUGUCAAGCUAGAGUGCAGGAGAGGAAGGUAGAAUUCCCGGUGUAGCGGUUAAAUGCGUAGAGAUCGGGAGGAAUACCAGUGGCGAAGGCGGCCUUCUGGACUGACACUGACACUGAGGUGCGAAAGCGUGGGUAGCAAACAGGAUUAGAUACCCCAGUAGUC
rnacentral:rRNA from 1 species